rnacentral:misc_RNA from 1 species
UUUCUCUUUCACUCUCCUCUUCAUUAGGCCUUUCUCAGAACCAGCUUCAACUCUGAGCCAUGGCUUCCAAAGCCCUAAUGAGCUGCGGCAUCGCCGCCGUCUGCCCGUCAGUCCUUUCCUCUUCCAAGUCCAAAUUUGCCGCCGCGUUGCCGCUUCCAAGUGGUGGUGCCACCGCUACCUCCCGGCUCACCAUGACGGCUGACUGGAUGCCUGGCGAGCCAAGGCCACCCUAUCUUGACGGCUCCGCACCCGGUGAUUUCGGGUUCGACCCGCUUCGUCUGGGUGAAGUCCCAGAAAACCUUGAAAGAUACAAGGAGUCUGAACUCAUUCACUGCAGA